GAAUUACACUAGCAGGAUAAUGAUCGAACGAAAGCAGGAUCAAAAGGAUAAUGACAAAAACUUGCCUGUAACUGCAGAAUAUGCUGAGCAGCGGAGAAUUCACUUACAGGUACGCUCUACCAACUCAUCGAAAGGAUUCACCAUGAAGCCGUGAUGAUAAAUGCAACCGGAUGAAAAGGGCUAUGUGGACUAUCCAAAUACAGAAAGG